rnacentral:rRNA from 1 species
UACGUAGGGUGCAAGCGUUAAUCGGAAUUACUGGGCGUAAAGGGCGCGUAGGCGGCCUUCUAAGUCGAACGUGAAAUCCCCGGGCUCAACCCGGGAACUGCGUCCGAUACUGGAAGGCUUGAAUCCGGGAGAGGGAUGUGGAAUUCCAGGUGUAGCGGUGAAAUGCGUAGAUAUCUGGAGGAACACCGGUGGCGAAGGCGACAUCCUGGACCGGUAUUGACGCUGAGGCGCGAAAAGCCAGGGGAGCAAACGGGG